AGAGUUUGAUCAUGGCUCAGAUUGAACGCUGGCGGCAGGCCUAACACAUGCAAGUCGAACGGUAACAGGAAGCAGCUUGCUGCUUUGCUGACGAGUGGCGGACGGGUGAGUAAUGUCUGGGAAACUGCCUGAUGGAGGGGGAUAACUACUGGAAACGGUGGCUAAUACCGCAUAACGUCGCAAGACCAAAGAGGGGGACCUUCGGGCCUCUUGCCAUCAGAUGUGCCCAGAUGGGAUUAGCUUGUUGGUGAGGUAACGGCUCACCAAGGCGACGAUCCCUAGCUGGUCUGAGAGGAUGACCAGCCACACUGGAACUGAGACACGGUCCAGACUCCUACGGGAGGCAGCAGUGGGGAAUAUUGCACAAUGGGCGCAAGCCUGAUGCAGCCAUGCCGCGUGUAUGAAGAAGGCCUUCGGGUUGUAAAGUACUUUCAGCGGGGAGGAAGGUGUUGUGGUUAAUAACCGCAGCAAUUGACGUUACCCGCAGAAGAAGCACCGGCUAACUCCGUGCCAGCAGCCGCGGUAAUACGGAGGGUGCAAGCGUUAAUCGGAAUUACUGGGCGUAAAGCGCACGCAGGCGGUCUGUCAAGUCGGAUGUGAAAUCCCCGGGCUCAACCUGGGAACUGCAUUCGAAACUGGCAGGCUUGAGUCUUGUAGAGGGGGGUAGAAUUCCAGGUGUAGCGGUGAAAUGCGUAGAGAUCUGGAGGAAUACCGGUGGCGAAGGCGGCCCCCUGGACAAAGACUGACGCUCAGGUGCGAAAGCGUGGGGAGCAAACAGGAUUAGAUACCCUGGUAGUCCACGCCGUAAACGAUGUCUACUUGGAGGUUGUGCCCUUGAGGCGUGGCUUCCGGAGCUAACGCGUUAAGUAGACCGCCUGGGGAGUACGGCCGCAAGGUUAAAACUCAAAUGAAUUGACGGGGGCCCGCACAAGCGGUGGAGCAUGUGGUUUAAUUCGAUGCAACGCGAAGAACCUUACCUGGUCUUGACAUCCACAGAACUUUCCAGAGAUGGAUUGGUGCCUUCGGGAACUGUGAGACAGGUGCUGCAUGGCUGUCGUCAGCUCGUGUUGUGAAAUGUUGGGUUAAGUCCCGCAACGAGCGCAACCCUUAUCCUUUGUUGCCAGCGGUUAGGCCGGGAACUCAAAGGAGACUGCCAGUGAUAAACUGGAGGAAGGUGGGGAUGACGUCAAGUCAUCAUGGCCCUUACGACCAGGGCUACACACGUGCUACAAUGGCGCAUACAAAGAGAAGCGACCUCGCGAGAGCAAGCGGACCUCAUAAAGUGCGUCGUAGUCCGGAUUGGAGUCUGCAACUCGACUCCAUGAAGUCGGAAUCGCUAGUAAUCGUGGAUCAGAAUGCCACGGUGAAUACGUUCCCGGGCCUUGUACACACCGCCCGUCACACCAUGGGAGUGGGUUGCAAAAGAAGUAGGUAGCUUAACCUUCGGGAGGGCGCUUACCACUUUGUGAUUCAUGACUGGGGUGAAGUCGUAACAAGGUAACCGUAGGGGAACCUGCGGUUGGAUCACCU
rnacentral:rRNA from 2 species